GACGAACGCUGGCGGCGUGCUUAACACAUGCAAGUCGAACGAUGAACUCCAGCUUGCUGGGGGGAUUAGUGGCGAACGGGUGAGUAACACGUGAGUAACCUGCCCUUGACUCUGGGAUAAGCGUUGGAAACGACGUCUAAUACCGGAUAUGACUUCUGCCGGCAUCGGUGGGGGUGGAAAGAUUUUUUGGUCAAGGAUGGACUCGCGGCCUAUCAGGUUGUUGGUGAGGUAAUGGCUCACCAAGCCGACGACGGGUAGCCGGCCUGAGAGGGUGACCGGCCACACUGGGACUGAGACACGGCCCAGACUCCUACGGGAGGCAGCAGUGGGGAAUAUUGCACAAUGGGCGCAAGCCUGAUGCAGCAACGCCGCGUGAGGGACGACGGCCUUCGGGUUGUAAACCUCUUUUAGUAGGGAAGAAGGGAGCUUGCUCUUGACGGUACCUGCAGAAAAAGCACCGGCUAACUACGUGCCAGCCGCCGCCGUAACAC
rnacentral:rRNA from 1 species